CGAACGGGAACCUUGGGUUUCAAUCCUUCGGGAGAGAGACCCUUGGCGAGAGUGGCGGAAGGGUGAGGAACACGUGGGCAAUUUACCUCUAAGUUGGGGAUAGCCACUGGAAACGGUGGAUAAUACCGAAUGUGGUAUUCCAACGCAUGUUGGAUGAUCUAAAGGCGGGGAUCCUUCGGGACCCGUCGCUUGGAGAUGAGCCCGCGUCCUAUCAGCUUGUUGGUGAGGUAACGGCUCACCAAGGCUUAGACGGGUAGCUGGUCUGAGAGGAUGGUCAGCCACACUGGGACUGAGACACUGCCCAGACUCCUACGGGAGGCUGCAGUCGAGAAUCAUUCGCAAUGCGCGCAAGCGCGACGAUGCGACGCCGCGUGCAGGAUGAAGGCCUUCGGGUUGUAAACUGCUGUCAUGGGGGAAAAACAGCCCCGGUAUUAAUACCAUCGGGGUGUGAUGGUACCCCAAGAGGAAGCCACGGCUAACUCUGUGCCAGCAGCCGCGGUAAUACAGAGGUGGCGAGCGUUGUUCGGAUUUACUGGGCGUAAAGGGUGCGUAGGCGGUCUCGUAUGUCGGCUGUGAAAGCUCUGGGCUCAACCCAGAAAUUGCAUCCGAAAC
rnacentral:rRNA from 1 species